CCGGUAAACGGCGGCCGUAACUAUAACGGUCCUAAGGUAGCGAAAUUCCUUGUCGGGUAAGUUCCGACCUGCACGAAUGGCGUAAUGAUGGCCAGGCUGUCUCCACCCGAGACUCAGUGAAAUUGAACUCGCUGUGAAGAUGCAGUGUACCCGCGGCAAGACGGAAAGACCCCGUGAACCUUUACUAUAGCUUGACACUGAACAUUGAGCCUUGAUGUGUAGGAUAGGUGGGAGGCUUAGAAGUGUGGACGCCAGUCUGCAUGGAGCCGACCUUGAAAUACCACCCUUUAAUGU
rnacentral:rRNA from 1 species